CAUGCAAGUCGAGCGGUAACAGACAUAAAGAUUCAGCUUGCUGAAUCCGGUGCUGACGAGCGGCGAACGGGUGAGUAACGCGUAGGAAUCUACCCAGUAGCGGGGGAUAGCCCGGGGAAACCCGGAUUAAUACCGCAUACGCCCUAAGGGGGAAAGGGGGCAGCUUGCUGCUCUUACUAUUGGAUGAGCCUGCGUAAGAUUAGCUUGUUGGUAGGGUAAUGGCCUACCAAGGCAACGAUCUUUAGCUGGUCUGAGAGGACGAUCAGCCACAUUGGGACUGAGACACGGCCCAGACAUCUACGGAUGGCAGCAGUUAAGAAUAUUGGACAAUGGGGGCAACCCUGAUCCAGGUAUACCGCGUGUGUGAAGAAGGCCCUAGGGUUGUAAAGCACUUUAAUCAGAGAAGAAGCAUUUUAAGUUAAUACCUUAUUGUGUUGACGUUACCUGAAGAAUAAGGACCGGCUAACUCCGUGCCAGCAGCCGCGGUAAUACGGAGGGUCCAAGCGUUAAUCGGAAUUACUGGGCGUAAAGCGCGCGUAGGCGGUUUAGCAAGUUGAAUGUGAAAGCCCUAGGCUCAACCUAGGAACUGCAUUCAAAACUACUGAGCUAGAGUACGAGAGAGGAGAGUAGAAUUUCUGGUGUAGCGGUGAAAUGCGUAGAUAUCAGAAGGAAUACCAAUGGCGAAGGCAGCUCUCUGGCUCGUCACUGACGCUAAGGUGCGAAAGCGUGGGUAGCAAACAGGAUUAGAUACCCUGGUAGUCCACGCCGUAAACGAUGAGAACUAGCCGUUGGACAGAUUUAACUGUUCAGUGGCGCAGCUAACGCAUUAAGUUCUCCGCCUGGGGAGUACGGCCGCAA
rnacentral:rRNA from 1 species